UGGCUGUGGAGCGAUGGCUCUAAGUUUAGCUUCAGCAGAUGGGGCAGGGGGGGAGCCAAGCAACUAUAGAGGAAAGGAACACUGUAUGGAGGUUAACUAUGGAGCUAACAAACAUGUCAACGACGUAGACUGUCUCGACAAGCAACCUUUUGUCUGUUCCUCCUCCCUGAAAUGAUCACAUCUUCAGUCAGGAUGUCACUUCUACCAGGAUGUCAGGCCUCGAUGACAUCAGUGUUUUGAAGAUUUAUCCACACUCCUGAUUCACUUUCAUAUUUAAUCAAUAAACUGAUUCACCCAGCUAAGCAAUA